rnacentral:misc_RNA from 1 species
GAAAUGCGAUAAGUAAUGUGAAUUGCAGAAUUCCGUGAAUCAUCGAAUCUUUGAACGCACAUUGCGCCCUCUGGUAUUCCGGGGGGCAUGUCUGUCCGAGCGUCAUUGCGAACCCCUCAAGCACGGCUUGUGUGAUGGGCCCUCCCGCGUCUUGGUCGUCAAGACGGGCCCGAAAUGCAGUGGCGGCUUCGCGGUUAUCCGAUCAGCCAGAGCGUAUGGGGACUUUCUCUCUGUCACACGCCCGCGGCGCGGACCGACGCCUGUCGACCUUCAUUCAUCGUUUUCUCGGUUGACCUCGGAUCAGGUAGGGAUACCCGCUGAACUUAAGC